CCCUUAACGCGGUGUGUGAACUCCAUGUUCCAGAACACCAUUCGGAUACGCUCCUGCUGGGCAUUUCGCACUGUGAUGGGUGUUGUAGUCUCUGCUCUGUUCCCAAGGACGGAAAAUUUAGAUAGCAUGGAAUAGGCCCUUUGAGUCGUGCUGCCCAGCGAUCCCCAGUUUAACCCUAACCUAAUCACAGGACAAUUUACAAUGACCAAUUAACCUACUAACCGGUAUGCCUUUGGACUGUGGGAGGAAACCGGAGCACCUGGAGGAAACCAACACAUUCCAUGGGGAGAACAUACAAAACUCUAAAGAGGAUGCAUCUGGAGUACCACCUCUUCCAGUGUGACACAAGAAUGUCCAUGGACUAGUUAACAUCUACUACCCUCUGGAUCUUGGACCAAACAUGCCUUCAAGC